rnacentral:lncRNA from 1 species
GAGAAGACAGCUGGCAGUGUGAGUGAAGGCAGAAGCUGCAGAAGGAUUUUACGGUGUGGCUGUUCACAUCAAGGGCAGUUGGUUUCUGUUCUACUACUCUUCCACACUGAGAGCUGUGCCAGAAGUUGAUACGGACAGCUGCUUGAGAGUUUCAUGACAUUCCAGGUAAUGCUUAUGUUUGGCAGUGCCUUCUACUUUG